rnacentral:rRNA from 1 species
AUUGAACGCUGGCGGCAUGCCUUACACAUGCAAGUCGAACGGCAGCACGGACUUCGGUCUGGUGGCGAGUGGCGAACGGGUGAGUAAUGUAUCGGAACGUACCUUUCAGUGGGGGAUAACGUAGCGAAAGUUACGCUAAUACCGCAUAUUCUGUGAGCAGGAAAGCAGGGGAUCGCAAGACCUUGCGCUGAUUGAGCGGCCGAUAUCAGAUUAGCUAGUUGGUGAGGUAAAGGCUCACCAAGGCGACGAUCUGUAGCGGGUCUGAGAGGAUGAUCCGCCACACUGGAACUGAGACACGGUCCAGACUCCUACGGGAGGCAGCAGUGGGGAAUUUUGGACAAUGGGCGCAAGCCUGAUCCAGCCAUGCCGCGUGAGUGAAGAAGGCCUCGGUUGUAA